rnacentral:rRNA from 1 species
GACGAACGCUGGCGGCGUGCUUAACACAUGCAAGUCGAACGGUAAGGCCCUUCGGGGUACACGAGUGGCGAACGGGUGAGUAACACGUGGGUGAUCUGCCCUGCACUUCGGGAUAAGCCUGGGAAACUGGGUCUAAUACCGGAUAGGACCACUGCCUGCAUGGGUGGUGGUGGAAAGCUUUUGCGGUGUGGGAUGGGCCCGCGGCCUAACAGCUUGUUGGUGGGGUGAUGGCCUACCAAGGCGACGACGGGUAGCCGGCCUGGGAGGGUGACCGGCCACACUGGGACUGAGAUACGGCCCAGACUCCUACGGGAGGCAGCAGUGGGGAAUAUUGCACAAUGGGCGCAAGCCUGAUGCAGCGACGCCGCGUGAGGGAUGACGGCCUUCGGGUUGUAAACCUCUUUCAGCGCCGACGAAGCGCAAGUGACGGUAGGUGCAGAAGAAGGACCGGCCAACUACGUGCCAGCCGCCGCCGUAA